rnacentral:rRNA from 1 species
CUACGGGGUGCUCCAGUGAGGAAUAUUGCACAAUGGGGGAAACCCUGAUGCAGCAACGCCGCGUGGAGGAUGACGCAUUUCGGUGUGUAAACUCCUUUUAUAUGUCAAGAAAAUGACGGUAGCAUAUGAAUAAGCACCGGCUAACUCCGUGCCAGCAGCCGCGGUAAUACGGAGGGUGCAAGCGUUACUCGGAAUCACUGGGCGUAAAGGACGCGUAGGCUGGUUGGUAAGUCAGGUGUGAAAUCCUACAGCUUAACUGUAGAACUGCACUUGAAACUACCAACCUAGAGUAUGGGAGGGGGAGAUGGAAUUAGUGGUGUAGGGGUAAAAUCCGUAGAUAUCACUAGGAAUACCGAGAGCGAAGGCGAUCUCCUGGAACAUAACUGACGCUAAGGCGUGAAAGCGUGGGGAGCAAACAGGAUUAGAUACCCUUGUAGUC